rnacentral:lncRNA from 1 species
GUUCUUGGCCUCACGGAUUCCAAGGAAUGAAAUCUUGGGCCAUGCGAUGAGUGUUAUAGCUCUAUUAGAAGCUGUGGGUCACAGAAGAGAACCACGGAAAGUGGUGACUAGUGUUCAGCACGAUUAGGACAAAUCCGGGCACUUAGCCAUGCAGGAACAAUGGCAAGCCUUUUACCGGAUCGGGAGCGGCAAUGGGUGCCUCACUGGAUCAGGAGCACAGGGGACACCCUGCUGGAUCCGGAGGGAUGGAAGUCAGCGGCAGGUCUGUGAUGGCAGCCAACAGCAGUGGUGGACGGCGAGCGAAAGCUCAGCUCGAGAGGUGGACUCCAAUGGCAGCAUCAAGAUGUUCUCCCAGUUGUACUCGGAAAGAUAUGCUUCUGAGGGGAAAGCUAUUUUUUUCCUAAAUGCAUAUUAGGUAAAAAGUGUGUGUCAGAGAUAAAAGUAUGCUGAUUAAGACCCUAGUCUUGGGGCAAUUAGACUUGCAUCACAGUCUCCCAACUCUAUUUGCUAAUUGUUUAAUAAAUUCUCUAUACCGUAAUUUAUUAUCUUGAUGGAUUAACAACAGUAACACCAUCUUAGAAUUUUUAAGAAGAAUAAAUGGGAUUAUACAUAUAAAAUGAUGAGCACACUAUCAGGACCACAGAUGUUUGUGUUGUUGCUUUUCUUUAGGUUUAUCCACACUGUCCUCC